AGAUUUCCGUGAAUGUGCUAUUGAAAGACACACCAAAGUGACGACCGAUAAUGACUGUUAUUGCUGUAUUGCAGAAAAAAAACCAACUUGUUUCUGCUUGGUUACAAUGAAUAUAAAUAUACCACGAAGUGGGUUUAUAAUAGACUAUUUUUGUCACAAGAAAUCUAUAGGUUUCCAUUUUUUGUAAAUUAUACGGCCAACGCCAUGGACAUUUUUUUAUGCAGAACAAUAAUCAUAGCGAUUUUAUGACAGUUUACCUGUUGUUGUCGUUAGUUAACUAUGAUAUUGUUAUUGAAUUGUGGCGUAUCAUUUAGUUGAUAGGAAAUCACUCACCUGGCUGUACCAUUGAUGCAUCAUUAGAGCAAGGUUCGUGUUUGUCCAGGUCUUUAGAUUUGUUUGAGGACAAACAAAGAACUCGGUUCUCUAAACGAAUUGUGAUUAGGAAGCACUCUAAGAGAACAACGAAGCUGGAAACUUAUUUCACUCUUGAUCAUUAUACUAUACAUCAACCAGAUACUCUUAUGGUACAGAUAACACUUAGUGUACACUGCAACGAAAUUAUUAAUUCAUCAGCAUGACGGUUGUUUGUAGCGGGUUCUAGUGACCGUGAAACAUUAGAUAUAGGGAUCUAAAUUUUAACGGAUUUUAGUCGAUAAUAUUACGCUUGAUGUAGCUAUAUUGACGAUAUAAAGGUGUCACCUUAAUGAGAACCGUUUGGAUAACUUUGUUUUGGGUGUUCACUCACGUGAUCUACAAGAGUCAUUCAAUUUGAGAUUGUAAAUAUGCCUCAUCUUUUUACCUUCCACGGUUUGUGUGGCGCCUUCAUUAUUGAACUUCGUACGGAAUUUAUUCAGUAAACUGAGAGUUUUUGUUGACAUCUAUUUAAAUAAUACAUACGGUUUUAAAAGACUAAACAAGACUGACAUUGUGGUUCGAUAAUGUUUUAAUAUUUUUUGUUCCAAUCAUAUUUUACCAUUGAUUAUAUGCGUAUGUAAUUGGUAACGCUUGAUCAUGGAUUCCAGCUAUUUGUUUUGCUGAAGAAGAGAGCGGGGAUUUAAUGGGGGCUGGUGGGGAAACCUUAUGGUCGUCUUUGAUGCUAUUAACCCUUUCAAAUACUAAUAUUCUGUCCAAAUAUCAAGUUGUUUUCCCUGAAGUUUGUUACAAUGUCAAAGAAUAAACAAACGCCAUGUCAUUUGAUUGGUUUCCUCUUGGGCGUCGCUUUCUUUGAAGCAGUUGAUUAACCUGAUGCAGACCGAUGUGAGAAAGGGAUCGUCUUUCAUGAAUAUCCGUUCACCCCGUUUUAUACAUAAUUUAAUUACAUGAAAAUAAAAGUGAAGCCUAUGAAAAUAUUUCAUUCACAAAAAAGUUUUAAUCCAAGAUAUUUGUGAUUGUUGUUAUGGUAACCUUUUUUUUCUCAAUUCAGAUAUUUAUAUAAAUAUGCGUUCGUUAUAUGACAACGUGUAAUAAAAACGUUAUAUAUUUUU
rnacentral:misc_RNA from 1 species